rnacentral:rRNA from 1 species
AUGAACGUUGGCAGCGUGGAUUAGGCAUGCAAGUCGAGCGACAAGGUUCCUUCGGGGACUGGAGGAGCGGCAAACGGGGUAGUAAGGCAUCGGAACGUACCCUUCUGUUCGGGAUAGCCGCGGGAAACUGCGAGUAAUACCGGAUAACACCGGCCUUUGUGAUGAAGGCCGGUCAAAGGUCCGCCGCGGAAGGAGCGGCCGAUGUGAUAUCAGCUGGUUGGCGGGGUAACGGCCCACCAAGGCUUAGACGUCUAGGGGAUGUGAGAGCAUGAUCCCCACCACUGGGACUGAGAUACUGCCCAGACACCUACGGGUGGCUGCAGUCGAGGAUCUUCGGCAAUGGGCGCAAGCCUGACCGAGCGACGCUGCGUGCGGGAUGAAGGCCCUUGGGUUGUAAACCGCUGUCAGAGGGGAUGAAAGCGAAAGCUUGACAGAGCCUCAGAGGAAGCGCGGGCUAAGUUCGU